rnacentral:rRNA from 1 species
AAACCGACUUCAGUUGAAAAUGGAGCGGAUGACCUGUGGAUAGGGGUGAAAGGCCAAUCAAACUCGGUGAUAGCUGGUUCUCCGCGAAAUGCAUUUAGGUGCAGCGUCGUGCGUUCAACGAUGGGGGUAGAGCACUGAAUGGGCUAGGGGUCCUACAAGACUACCGACCCCAAUCAAACUCCGAAUACCAUCGUUCCAGAGCACGUCAGUGAGACCUCGGGGGAUGAGCUUCGAGGUCGAGAGGGAAACAGCCCAGACCGCCGGCUAAGGUCCCAAAAUCUGAACUAAGUGGUAAACGAUGUGAGAUUGCGAAGACAGCCAGGAGGUUGGCUUGGAAGCAGCCAUCCUUGAAAGAGUGCGUAACAGCUCACUGGUCGAGUGAUCUUGCGCGGACAAUGUAACGGGGCUCAAGUUCAGUACCGAAGCCGCGGAUGCGACUCUUUGAGUCGUGUGGUAGCGGAGCGUCGAGCGUGCAGCGAAGCGGCGGGACAACCCAGCCGUGGAGCGCGUUCGAGUGCGAAUGUUGGCAUGAGUAGCGAAUGAUGGGUGAGAACCCCCUCCGCCGUAUGUCCAAGGGUUCCUGGGCGAGGCCAAUCCUCCCAGGGUGAGUCGGGAGCUAAGGCGAGGCCGAGAGGCGUAGUCGAUGCACAACUGGUUGAUAUUCCAGUACCACCAUGUUCGCGUCCGUCCCAAUACUCUGUUGCUAAGGGGCUGUGUUGACUUCGGUCAACGCGAACCGACCCACAUUGUUGCGGGAAGCUGUAGGGGGACGCAGGAAGGUAGAUGAACCCGGUGAAUGGUAGAACCGGGGUAAGCGUGUAGGAGGAGGACCAGGUAAAUCCGGGCCUCAUAAACUCUGAGACGUGAUACCGAGCCGCUUCAGGCGAAGUCAUUGAUCCUAUGCUGCCUAGAAAAGCCCAGCAGCGAGUUGACAUGGUGCCCGUACCCCAAACCAACACAGGUGGACAGGUAGGGCAUACCAAGGCGAGUGGGAUAACUAUGGUUAAGGAACUCGGCAAAUUGCCUCCGUAACUUCGGGAGAAGGAGGACCCCAGUAGCGUGAUGAGACUUGCUCUCUGAGCGUGAAGGGGUGGCACAAAAUUGAGGGAAGCGACUGUUUACCAAAAACACAGCAGCGUGCUAAGCCGUAAGGCGCUGUAUACGCUGUGACUCCUGCCCGGUGCUGGAAGAUUACGGGGAUGGGUUAGUCCUUCGGGACGAAGCUCUGAACCUAAGCCCCAGUAAACGGCGGCCGUAACUAUAACGGUCCUAAGGUAGCGAAAUUCCUUGUCGGGUAAGUUCCGACCUGCACGAAUGGAGUAACGACUUCCCUACUGUCUCAACCAUAGACCCAGCGAAAUUGAAGUACGAGUAAAGAUGCUCGUUAGCUGCAGAAGGACGGAAAGACCCCGUGGACCUUUACUAUAACUUGAUGU